rnacentral:antisense_RNA from 1 species
AGCCUGAACUUUCUCAUCUAACACCUGUUCAAGUCGGAGGAUGCUGAUUAAUUCAUGAUGGAAAGGUAUCAAUUUCACAGCCCAGACUUCUACAUUCUUGAAAUGCUGUUCUCAUGGGAGACAUUAAAUAAGCUUUGAAAUAACUCUCUUUUUGGACUAAAAGGCCCUCAGCAUUCCUGGCAAUUUCUACACUCCUGAAGCUUCAUCUGGAGACGUCUGUGGAUUCUAUAACUCAAAGACCCAGGCUGAUGGCUGGUGGAAUAGCUACCAUCUCAAACAUGGCGUGAUGCUGCAUCAGAGGGAAAAAUAAGCUCUUGCACUGGCAAUGAAAUGUCUACCCUGUAGUGACUUGUGCUUACUUCCACUCACAAAUGAUUGCCCAGAGCUACUUACCUGGCUCCAAUCUACCACUGGGUGUGUACGUGCAAUCUACUGUGUACCUAGAAGAUGAGAGGAACAAAUUAUUAAUGAUGACCACACCCCAAGACUAACAAUAAUUGCAGAAGAAUCAAUGACUUAAACAAAAAUAUGGCCAUUGAAGGAAUAGAAAAUAUAGUGAGUUUAGUGUAAAUUUAGAAGUGAUUUAUAAGUAGCAUACAAAAUCCAGAAACUAUAAGAAAACAGAUUGACAAAUAUAAACAUAUAAAGCUUUAAAAAAGUUUAAUAUAACAAAAAUGGCAUAAAAAGAGUCAAAAGUUUUUAAAAAAUAUGUUAAUGCAGUAGAUUAGGUGCUAAUUUUCUUAAUAUACUAAUAACUCAAUAAGAGAAAUUUUGU